AUGCAAGUCGAACGAUGAACUGGGUGCUUGCACCUGGGGAUUAGUGGCGAACGGGUGAGUAACACGUGAGCAACCUGCCCCUGACUCUGGGAUAAGCGCUGGAAACGGCGUCUAAUACUGGAUACGAACAAGAAUCGCAUGGUUACUUGUUGGAAAGAUUUUUUGGUUGGGGAUGGGCUCGCGGCCUAUCAGCUUGUUGGUGAGGUAAUGGCUCACCAAGGCGUCGACGGGUAGCCGGCCUGAGAGGGUGACCGGCCACACUGGGACUGAGACACGGCCCAGACUCCUACGGGAGGCAGCAGUGGGGAAUAUUGCACAAUGGGCGGAAGCCUGAUGCAGCAACGCCGCGUGAGGGAUGACGGCCUUCGGGUUGUAAACCUCUUUUAGCAGGGAAGAAGCGAAAGUGACGGUACCUGCAGAAAAAGCGCCGGCUAACUACGUGCCAGCAGCCGCGGUAAUACGUAGGGCGCAAGCGUUAUCCGGAAUUAUUGGGCGUAAAGAGCUCGUAGGCGGUUUGUCGCGUCUGCUGUGAAAUCCCGAGGCUCAACUUCGGGUCUGCAGUGGGUACGGGCAGACUAGAGUGCGGUAGGGGAGAUUGGAAUUCCUGGUGUAGCGGUGGAAUGCGCAGAUAUCAGGAGGAACACCGAUGGCGAAGGCAGAUCUCUGGGCCGUAACUGACGCUGAGGAGCGAAAGGGUGGGGAGCAAACAGGCUUAGAUACCCUGGUAGUCCACCCCGUAAACGUUGGGAACUAGUUGUGGGGUCCAUUCCACGGAUUCCGUGACGCAGCUAACGCAUUAAGUUCCCCGCCUGGGGAGUACGGCCGCAAGGCUAAAACUCAAAGGAAUUGACGGGGACCCGCACAAGCGGCGGAGCAUGCGGAUUAAUUCGAUGCAACGCGAAGAACCUUACCAAGGCUUGACAUAUACGAGAACGGGCCAGAAAUGGUCAACUCUUUGGACACUCGUAAACAGGUGGUGCAUGGUUGUCGUCAGCUCGUGUCGUGAGAUGUUGGGUUAAGUCCCGCAACGAGCGCAACCCUCGUUCUAUGUUGCCAGCACGUAAUGGUGGGAACUCAUGGGAUACUGCCGGGGUCAACUCGGAGGAAGGUGGGGAUGACGUCAAAUCAUCAUGCCCCUUAUGUCUUGGGCUUCACGCAUGCUACAAUGGCCGGUACAAAGGGCUGCAAUACCGUGAGGUGGAGCGAAUCCCAAAAAGCCGGUCCCAGUUCGGAUUGAGGUCUGCAACUCGACCUCAUGAAGUCGGAGUCGCUAGUAAUCGCAGAUCAGCAACGCUGCGGUGAAUACGUUCCCGGGUCUUGUACACACCGCCCGUCAAGUCAUGAAAGUCGGUAACACCUGAAGCCGGUGGCCUAACCCUUGUGGAGGGAGCC
rnacentral:rRNA from 1 species